rnacentral:rRNA from 1 species
UGGGGAAUAUUGGACAAUGGGGGGCAACCCCGAUCCAGCCAUGCCGCGUGAGUGAUGAAGGCCUUCGGGUUGUAAAGCUCUUUUGGCGGGGACGAUGAUGACGGUACCCGCAGAAUAAGCCCCGGCUAACUUCGUGCCAGCAGCCGCGGUAAGACGAAGGGGGCUAGCGUUGUUCGGAAUUACUGGGCGUAAAGCGAGUGUAGGCGGUUGCCGUAGUCAGGUGUGAAAGCCUUGAGCUCAACUCAAGAAAUGCACUUGAUACUGGGUGACCAGAGGACCGGAGAGGGAUAGUGGAAUUUCCCCAGUGUAGUGGUGAAAAUACGUAGAGAUUGGGAAGAACACCAGUGGCGAAGGCGGCUAUCUGGACGGUUACUGACGCUAAGACUCGAAAGCGUGGGGAGCAAACAGGAUUAGAUACCCUGGUAGUCCACGCCGUAAACGAUGGGUGCUAGACGUUGGCGAGCUUGCUCGUCAGUGUCGCAGCUAACGCGUUAAGCACCCCGCCUGGGGAGUACGGCCNCAAGGUUAAAACUCAAAUGAAUUGCGGGGUCAUAGCUGUUUCCU